CGUAGGUGGCAAGCGUUGUCCGGAUUUAUUGGGUUUAAAGGGUGCGUAGGUGGUCUUGUAAGUCAGUGGUGAAAUACGGCAGCUCAACUGUCGAGGUGCCAUUGAUACUGCAAGACUUGAGUACAGACGAGGUAGGCGGAAUUGACGGUGUAGCGGUGAAAUGCUUAGAUAUCGUCAAGAACACCGAUAGCGAAGGCAGCUUACUAGACUGUAACUGACACUGAGGCACGAAAGUGUGGGGAUCAAACAGGAUUAGAUACCCUGGUAGUCCACACUGUAAACGAUGAUUACUCGAUGUUGGCGAUACACAGCCUGCGUCUUAGCGAAAGCGAUAAGUAAUCCACCUGGGGAUACGCCCGCAAGGGUG
rnacentral:rRNA from 1 species